UACGUAGGGUGCGAGCGUUGUCCGGAAUUACUGGGCGUAAAGAGCUCGUAGGUGGUUUGUCGCGUUGGUUCGUGAAAACUCACAGCUCAACUGUGGGCGUGCGGGCGAUACGGGCAGACUGGAGUACUGCAGGGGAGACUGGAAUUCCUGGUGUAGCGGUGGAAUGCGCAGAUAUCAGGAGGAACACCGGUGGCGAAGGCGGGUCACUUGGC
rnacentral:rRNA from 1 species